rnacentral:lncRNA from 1 species
CUGGGACAAAGGGCCCACUGGGCGGGACUGGGUCCUGGGGGGGAGACACAGGGCCAGCCUUUGUGAAGUGGGAGGGGUGUCCUCCGGCCUCCUUCCCUGCUCAGGGGCCAGUGCACAAGAGGAGGGGGCAUGCGGCUCUUAAUGGAGGUGCUGGACGAUGGCACACCUGGCCCGGUGGCCCCUCAGAGACAGGCUCCGACCUCCACUGUCCCCACAAAAUAAAUGAGGGGCUCUCAGUGCUUGUCUGCUGGCUUCUGGGGCCCACGGAAGGGACAUCCUCUGGCCGCCUCCUCCCAGGGCCCAGAGAGGAUAAUGUUCCCACUCCCUGGCAUCUGGGUCCUUCGGUCUCUGGCUUCCACACAGCAGCCCUUACUCUCUCCCCGGCUCAGGGAAAGGGCCUUUGGCCAGCGAGCCCCUGAGUCUCUGGCAUUCCCAGCUCUCUCUGCCGGCCUCUGGGACCCUGUGCGUGAGAAUGCCCUCUUUCUGGUGUUCCUGGGGACUCCCCUGGGGGCCCUGGGCCUUCCUUACUUGGGGCUUGGGGGGGUGGUGGAACAGAAGGCCUUUGAGGGUGGGGGUCUCUUCCCUUUCUGUCUCCGUGGGCCCCCGCACCCUCACUGGGCCUUGCAGUGUCCGGGCUUGCUAACUUGAGGUGGGUAGAGUUGGCUGUGAGGGUCCUCGGCGGAGGGGGUCCCAGGGAGGGAGGGAGUGAGGGAGGCCCUUCUGUCGGGCUCAGGCUGACCAGGAAGGACGCCCUCUGUCCCGGCACUUACCUGAAGAACCAGGUCGGCGGCGGCUUCCCAAGACCGGUCCCCCAAGGUCCGGCCCCAGAGGGGCCGGCUCAGAGAGCCCCGGCUGGAGGGUCCCAGGGCGAGGGGAGUGGGAUCCCAGCGGGGUCUCAGGGCAGCUCUGAGAAGGGACGCACUGGGUCCCGGGGCCCAGCAGUACAGAAAGGGCUCCAUGGAGACUAAGCUCUUUCCUCACAACCACCUGGGGAGGGAGCAGGAGGGACAAAGGGGACGUCCUAGGAAACAAGCCAAGGAGCGGGCCCUGAGGGUUCGGGAUUGCCCUGAGGUCACACAGCCGGUGGCAAAGGGAGGAGGUUCCUUGGGCCUCAGGCCCACUGCUCUUUGUGGAUUCAGGGCCAUCAGAACUGGGGCUGGCCCAGCCACCCUUCUCUCCAGCCCAGGCAGGGCUCCCAGAAACCCCCCCCUUCCGAGGGGUGCCGAGGUUCCUGCACGCCCCCCUCUCCUCGGCGGUCACCUUCAGGGCCUCCCCUCCCCCGCCCGCCCGGCCCGGGGCCCGGCACACAGUAGGUGCUCAAAGCCUGCUCUGGCUUGGGGGACUGCAGACGGCUGGGCCAGCCUGUGAGUGCCGGCGAUCGCCCGCCACCACCACCUAGUGGCCAAAGCCGGAGGGCGCUGCCAGGGAAGCCUGAGCAGUCCCGGCGCUCGGGGAGCAAAGCUUCCCUGGGGCCGCCAGCGGGGCGCGACAAGCGUUUCGGGAGACUGCGGGCGGGGCCCUGACCCCCCAAGCCGGCGGCGCAGGGGAACGCAGGGGGACGCAGCCGGACGGCUCCGGGCUCCCCGCCUGGGCAGGGAGAACUCCCAGGGACCCCCGAACGCUGUCUGGCCCCUCUGUGGUCCGGGAGCCGAGGCUGGCUGGGGUCCGGGACCCUCACAACAGACCCGAGGGGGGCAGGGCCCAGAGCCCUCUUGUGGCCCUUCUGCUCGGAGGCUGGGUAGUCUGUCACUGUCACUGCUCCCUAGGCCCAGUCCAGCUCCCUGCCGGCCACAUGGCCAGUCCUUCUCUGAGACGCUGAAGGGGGGAUUCCUAGUCAUGGCCCAUGGGAAAAAACCCCUGCGGCCAUCGUUCCAGGUGUCCCUGAUCUGCCUCUGCCUACCCUCUUCACACUGACCAGCAGGGCUCCCACUGUCCCUCCUCCGGGGACUUUCUGCACCUCUAUGCGGGCUGCUGCCCUAAGCCUGGUCUUCUCUCCUCCUCCUCCUCCUCCUCCUCCUCCUCCUCCUCUUCGUCCUCCUCCUCCUCCUCCUCCCCUGCUCCCACUUGAGCAAAGUGAGGCUUUGCUCAAAUCUCAUUUUCUUCCUCAAGUCUUAGCCUUCAGGCUACUUCAGGUGCCUCUGAAAACCUCAAGUCCUUCAUCUGCCAAAGGAGGAGGGGCCCUUCCCAUGUCCCAGCCAUAACCUGAUGGUCCCAACCCCUGUGGUCUGCCCCUUCCCCAGGACUACCAAAGCACUGGGGGCUCCUUUGCCCUUUUGGGUCCCUAACUUUUAGAAGGACAGCAGUAACAGUCAGCAUCUCUGUAGCCCCUGCGAGACUGCAUGGGUCAUCUCAGUGGAUCAUAAGCUCCCUGAGGGCAAGGACCGUUGUUUCUUAACCAUCACCUUAUAUGUGACAGGGCUUAGCAAAUGUUUUCUGAAUUGAAGCUGCAGCAUUGCUUGAUCCUUUCGCACCUUCCCCUCCCCUGGGCGUUUGUGUGGCCCAUUCCCUGUUCUCUCUGUGGCCCGUUAACCAGAGCAGGCUGGAGGGAGACACAAUGGCUUUGAUGUGGCCGAUGAGUAAGGAAGAGAGACCGAAGGG